rnacentral:rRNA from 1 species
GUAACGGCGAGUGAAGCGGGAUGAGCUCAAAUUUAAAAUCUGGCUGGUUUACUAGUCCGAAUUGUAGUUUAUAGAAGCGUUUUCGGUGGCAGCCUGGGUAUAAAUCCUUUGGAAUAGGGUAUCAUAGAGGGUGAGAAUCCCGUCUUUGACUCAGUGCAUGCUACUAUGUGAUACGUUUUCAAAGAGUCGAGUUGUUUGGGAAUGCAGCUCAAAAUGGGUGGUAAAUUUCAUCUAAAGCUAAAUAUUGGCGAGAGACCGAUAGCGAACAAGUACCGUGAGGGAAAGAUGAAAAGAACUUUGAAAAGAGAGUUAAACAGUGCGUGAAAUUGUUGAAAGGGAAACGCUUGACACCAGUUAUGCGGGUGGAAAAUCAGUCUUUUGCAAUGGGGAGUUGUGGGCGUUCAGACCGCAAGGCUGGCGUUUGCUUCAUCUUUGUUGUAAGUGAUGCACUUUUUCAUUUGCAGGUCAACAUCAGUUUGCUCUGCUGGACAAAACUCCAAGGGAAGGUGGCAGCUUAGGCUGUGUUAUAGCCCUGGAGCGAUACAGUGGGGUGGACUGAGGUUUCGCAGUGUGUGCUUUCGGGCAAGGCUGACUGGGUGCUAUGAGAUCGUUCGGCGUACAAUGCAUGCAUUUUGCGUCGUGUCUUUUUUAUACUCGCUCAACUCGGCUCUUCCACGCUUAGGA